rnacentral:rRNA from 1 species
AUUGAACGCUGGCGGCAGGCUUAACACAUGCAAGUCGAGCGGGGUGAUGGUGCUUGCACUAUCACUUAGCGGCGGACGGGUGAGUAAUGCUUAGGAAUCUGCCUAUUAGUGGGGGACAACAUCUCGAAAGGGAUGCUAAUACCGCAUACGUCCUACGGGAGAAAGCAGGGGAUCACUUGUGACCUUGCGCUAAUAGAUGAGCCUAAGUCGGAGUAGCUAGUUGGUGGGGUAAAGGCCUACCAAGGCGACGAUAUGUAGCGGGUCUGAGAGGAUGAUCCGCCAGACUGCGACUGAGACACGGCCCAGACUCCGACGGGGGGCAGCAGUGGGGAAUAUUGGACAAUGGGGGAACCCUGAUCCAGCCAUGCCGCGUGUGUGAAGAAGGCCUUAUGGUUGUAAAGCACUUUAAGCGAGGAGGAGGCUCUUUUGGUUAAUACCCAAGAUGAGUGGACGUUACUCGCAGAAUAAGCACCGGCUAACUCUGUGCCAGCCGCCACGGUAA